UACGUAGGGGGCGAGCGUUGUCCGGAGUUACUGGGCGUAAAGGGCGCGCAGGCGGUCUGGUAAGUUUGGAGUGACAGUGCUCGGCUUAACUGAGCAAGGCCUUCGAAAACUGCUAGACUUGAGCACUCAAGAGGGACAUAGAAUUCCGGGUGGAGUGGUGAAAUGCGUAGAUAUCAGGAGGAACACCGGUGGCGAAGGCGGGUCUCUGGGCCGAUACUGACGCUGAGGAGCGAAAGCGUGGGGAGCGAACAGG
rnacentral:rRNA from 1 species